AAUGAUUCUUUCCAGAACUUAACACCUCAGCUUCUGUAUUGAAGCAGGUGUUGACACCUCAAUGAAAAUCAACAACCUAUCAAAUUAUAACAAAUAAUACAGCUGUGGACAAAAGAAAUCAAAAACGAUUUGUAACACUGCGUUUAAUCAAUGGCUAAAUGAAGAUGAAGAUCGAACAAGAAGGAGAAGAGAAGUGUAUUCGCGAAUCGGAGAAGGAGAAGAGAAGCUGAUGAUUCGUUCAAUGUGUUAAUAAAGAUCUCGACUUUGUUAAUUGCUAUUCCGUCUGGUGUUAUUCGUUGUUUCUAUCCUCGGCUCUUUCGAUAGAGAGGCUGCGGAGGUUAUUUUGUCUCAAUUCGAUCUCCUUCGUCAGAUGUGGAUAUGAUGAAGGAGAGAUUUGUAAAGUUGUUGCUUGGUGAAGAUAUGUCAGGUUCUGGCAAAGGCGUGUGUACGGCUUUAGCCAUCUCCAACGCUAUCACUAAUCUAUGUGCUACAAUAAGACUAUCUUAUUUUUGGGCAACUAUGGAGAUUAGAGCCGCUUCCGAGGGAAAAAAAGGAGAUGUGGAGAAGAGAGAUGGAGUGGAUACUUAGUGUUAGUGAUCACAUCGUUGAGUUAACACCUUCUACACAAACUUACCAAGACGGCAAAAAGUUUGAGGUGUGGCCUUGCAAAGUGAUUGCUCCCAAAUACAAAGAGCUAUCUGAGAAGUACCAGGAUAUGGUGUUUCUUAAGCUUGACUGCAACCAAGACAACAAGAGAUAUGUUCGUGUUCGUGGAGCGGAGGACAACAUAGUUGGUUUCCGCGUGCUGUACGAGACACAGAGAUAACUUCUAGAUAGAGAGAGAGAAACAGAGAUGGAGACAAAAACCCUUUAAAGGAUUUGAACGGAGAAGACGAGGCAUAACACAACACAACAACUCUGUAAGUAAGUUCUGAUCAGACCCCAAUAUUUCAGUUUCUUGAUGUUUUGUCUGAAAAGUUUCAAGAUUUGAUUUUGAGGUGUUGGAGUGUCUCUCUUUUUUUUCUUCUUCGAAUUCGUCUGAACAGAUCUCUCUGUUUCCCUUGGAAUUAUCGAUCUCUCAAUCACUCAUGCUGUAAAGUAUAAGGAUCAUCCUCUAUCUUAAUUCUGCUCUUGGAGAGCAAGAUACAAGAGACAAAAGCAAAGAAAGAUACGCUCCUUGCAUGUGCUCGAACUGCCAAGUUUGUAUCGGUUCCUUAUUAUCCUUAAUGGGAAGCUUGUUCCUUGUUCCACAAACAACAGUCACUGUUUGAAAAAAAAAACAAAAAGCACUUCCAAACCAAGUACAUAAUUAUACCUUAAUUGACAUUAAAAAAAUCUACAUCAAUAAAAAAAAAAAAAAAUACAACGAAUCAAAACCACACAAUUGAAUCAUCCACAAAACAAUUCACAAAUAAGAUGCUAAAGAUAUAAUAAAUCUUUAAUCCAACACAAACAUACAAAACAACA